GAUGAACGCUAGCUACAGGCUUAACACAUGCAAGUCGAGGGGAAACGACAUCGAAAGCUUGCUUUUGAUGGGCGUCGACCGGCGCACGGGUGAGUAACGCGUAUCCAACCUGCCCACCACUUGGGGAUAACCUUGCGAAAGUAAGACUAAUACCAAAUGACGUCUCUAGAAGACAUCUGAAAGAGAUUAAAGAUUUAUCGGUGAUGGAUGGGGAUGCGUCUGAUUAGCUUGUUGGCGGGGUAACGGCCCACCAAGGCGACGAUCAGUAGGGGUUCUGAGAGGAAGGUCCCCCACAUUGGAACUGAGACACGGUCCAAACUCCUACGGGAGGCAGCAGUGAGGAAUAGUGGUCAAUGGACGAGAGUCUGAACCAGCCAAGUAGCGUGCAGGAUGACGGCCCUAUGGGUUGUAAACUGCUUUUAUAAGGGAAUAAAGUGAGUCUCGUGAGACUUUUUGCAUGUACCUUAUGAAUAAGGACCGGCUAAUUCCGUG
rnacentral:rRNA from 1 species